AGCUCCAUCUGGAACGGAUCGAGUUGUCCUUCAUUUCUUCAGACUAACAGAAUUAAAUUCUCUGGGAGGGAAGCUUCAUGUAUUUGAGGAAGUGCUAAGCAUCAGGAGGUUAUUUAGUGAGUGUUGAAGGCAUAAUUGGGGUAUCAUUGGAAGCAGAGGAGUGUGAAU
rnacentral:lncRNA from 1 species